rnacentral:rRNA from 1 species
GAUGAACGCUGGCGGCGUGCCUAAUACAUGCAAGUCGAGCGAACAGACGGGGAGCUUGCUCCUCUGACGUUAGCGGCGGACGGGUGAGUAACACGUGGAUAACCUACCUAUAAGACUGGGAUAACUUCGGGAAACCGGAGCUAAUACCGGAUAAUAUAUUGAACCGCAUGGUUCAAUAGUGAAAGACGGUUUUGCUGUCACUUAUAGAUGGAUCCGCGCCACAUUAGCUAGUUGGUAAGGUAACGGCUUACCAAGGCAACGAUGCGUAGCCGACCUGAGAGGGUGAUCGGCCACACUGGAACUGAGACACGGUCCAGACUCCUACGGGAGGCAGCAGUAGGGAAUCUUCCGCAAUGGGCGAAAGCCUGACGGAGCAACGCCGCGUGAGUGAUGAAGGUCUUCGGAUCGUAAAACUCUGUUAUUAGGGAAGAACAAAUGUGUAAGUAACUAUGCACGUCUUGACGGUACCUAAUCAGAAAGCCACGGCUAACUACGUG